rnacentral:rRNA from 1 species
ACUGCCCAGACUCCUACGGGAGGCUGCAGUCAAGAAUAUUCCUCAAUGGCCGAAAGGCUGAAGGAGCGACGCCGCGUGUGUGAUGAAGCUCUUCGGAGUGUAAAGCACUUUUAUAUAGGACGAACAAAUGACGGUACUAUAUGAAUAAGGGGCUGCUAAACUCGUGCCAGCAGCAGCGGUAAUACGAGUGCCCCGAGCGUUAUCCGGAUUUAUUGGGCGUAAAGCGUCCGCAGGCGGUCUGUAACAUCUUUUGUUAAAUCACAAGGCUUAACUUUGUGACCGCGAGAGAUAUGGACAGACUAGAGACUGGGAGAGGUAAGCGGAAUUGCUGGUGUAGGGGUUAAAUCCGUUAAUAUCAGCAGGAACACCAAAUGCGAAGGCAGCUUACUGGAACAGUUCUGACGCUCAUGGACGAAAGCGUGGGUAGCGAAUGGGAUUAGAUACCCCAGUAGUCCACGCCGUAAACGUUGGAUGCUAAACAUUGGAAGUAUCGACCCUUUCAGUGUUGUUUAAUCAAGCUAACGCCUUAAGCAUCCCGCCUGGGGAGUACGGUCGCAAGAUUAAAACUCAAAGGAAUAGACGGGGACCCGCACAAGCGGUGGAGCAUGUGGUUUAAUUCGACGAUAAGCGAGGAACCUCACCAAGGUUUGACAUUUAGCUGCAGACCCCUGGAAACAGGGGAGCCUUCGAGGGUGCUAAACAGAUGCUGCAUGGUUGUCGUCAGCUCGUGUCGUGAGAUGUACCGUUAAGUCGGAAAACGAGCGCAACCCUUACCCUAUGUUUUACAUGUCAUAGGGAACUGCCUACUUUAAGUGGGAGGAAGGUGGGGAUGACGUCAAAUCAGCAUGGUUCUUACACCUUGGGCGACACACGUGCUACAAUGGGAGACACAAAGGGAAGCCAAACGGUAACGUGGAGCAAACCCCCAAAAUCUUCCUCAGUUCGGAUUGAGGUCUGCAACUCGACCUCAUGAAGCUGGAAUCGCUAGUAAACGUGUAUCAGCCACGGCACGUUGAAUACGUUCUCGGGUCUUGUACUCACCGCCCGUCACACCAAGAGAGUUGGUAGUACCCGAACCUCGAUUUUUCGAGGGAAGGUAAGAUCAGCGAUAAGGGUGAAGUCGUAACAAGGCAUCCGUAGCGGAAGCUGUGGAUG